CAUUUGGGCACCAAUCAGAGCC
rnacentral:miRNA from 9 species